ACCACAGGCACAAAGAGCAGCAACUCAUCUCUGCCAAAUCCAUCUCUGAAAUCACUCCCCCACUCCAUCCCCUCCAGCAGCAGCAGGCAAACACCAUCGACUGCUGUUGCAUCUCCUCCAAGGCUUCCACCUCACACUGGGAAGGAAGGAAGACCCUUGGAGAGAAGGGGUGUGCAGAGUUGCUGAAGAAGGAGGGUAGCCGAGCUCAUCUGCAAGAUGUCUGGCAGCACCCACAACUCCUCCCAGAAAAUCAGGAGAAGAAAACCGGAUAAGGCUGAAAUUGCAGCAGGAGAAGAAAAGAGCCAGGACAUCCCUGUUAGUAGCAGGACUGAAUUCUUCCCUGGAACUUUAUUCCAGAUUUUUAUCAGGCACAAGUCGACAGCAAGAGCAAGCCCACGGCAGAUGGGUGGACGUCGAACACGCUGGAGGAGGAUCCUCCUACAGCUCCUGGACUUGACAACCCUACUCCACUCGCUCCUGAUGGGCACUCAACUCCACUGGCUCAGCUUUUCAGGGAGAGCCCAGCUGCCUCCCAGCCAUGGCUGCACAGAGAGUUAACAAGAACUGCCAUUCUCUGCAGGGGAGGGAGGACAAAAGCAGGAAAGACAACAUUCGGCAAGGGAUGGAGCAGCGACCAGGGCCCAGCACUGCCAAGGCCCCAGCCAGCGCGGCGAGGAGGAAGCAGGGCUCCCAAAAGGCCUUUCGGCUGUCCUCGGUGCCCUGCCAGCCUGAGCCCGGGGCAGGAGUUAGCAGGCUAGCCAAGAGCCUUUCCAUCCCACAGCCUGUAUUCCAGGAGUUCACUGUAAAUUGGGCUCUGGAACGGGCAGCCAGUGUGAAACUUGGCAUGUACGUUGCUGGCUUCAACGCAUCAUUAAAAAGGCAUUUCA